AUUGAACGCUGGCGGCAGGCCUAACACAUGCAAGUCGAGCGGAUGAAGGGAGCUUGCUCCUGGAUUCAGCGGCGGACGGGUGAGUAUUGCCUAGGAAUCUGCCUGGUAGUGGGGGAUAACGUCCGGAAACGGGCGCUAAUACCGCAUACGUCCUGAGGGAGAAAGUGGGGGAUCUUCGGACCUCACGCUAUCAGAUGAGCCUAGGUCGGAUUAGCUAGUUGGUGGGGUAAAGGCCUACCAAGGCGACGAUCCGUAACUGGUCUGAGAGGAUGAUCAGUCACACUGGAACUGAGACACGGUCCAGACUCCUACGGGAGGCCGCAGUGGGGAAUAUUGGACAAUGGGCGAAAGCCUGAUCCAGCCAUGCCGCGUGUGUGAAGAAGGUCUUCGGAUUGUAAAGCACUUUAAGUUGGGAGGAAGGGCAGUAAGUUAAUACCUUGCUGUUUUGACGUUACCAACAGAAUAAGCACCGGCUAACUUCGUG
rnacentral:rRNA from 1 species